UACCCGCAGCCCGAGUGGUGCUCGUUAUUAUUGGGCCUAAAGCGUCCGUAACCGGCUUCGUAAAUGCCUAGGGAAAUCGAUGCGCUCAACGCAUCGAAGGCCUGGGUAGACUGCGAGGCUCGAGACCGGGAGAGGCCAGAGGUACUCCAGGGGUAGAGGUGAAAUUCUGUAAUCCUUGGGGGACCACCGGUGGCGAAGGCGUCUGGCUAGAACGGAUCUGACGGCGAGGGACGAAGCCCUGGGGCGCAAACGGG
rnacentral:rRNA from 1 species